rnacentral:rRNA from 1 species
UACGUAGGGGGCAAGCGUUGUCCGGAUUUAUUGGGCGUAAAGAGCGUGUAGGCGGCCAGGUAGGUCCGUUGUGAAAACUCGAGGCUCAACCUCGAGACGCCGAUGGAAACCAUCUGGCUAGAGUCCGGAAGAGGAGAGUGGAAUUCCCGGUGUAGCGGUGAAAUGCGCAGAUAUCGGGAAGAACAUCCGUGGCUAAGGCGGCUCUCUAGUACGGUACUGGACGCUGAGACGCGAAAGCGUGGGGAGCGAACAGG